rnacentral:rRNA from 1 species
UACGUAGGGUGCAAGCGUUGUCCGGAAUUAUUGGGCGUAAAGAGCUCGUAGGCGGUCUGUCGCGUCUGCUGUGAAAACCUGGGGCUUAACCCCGGGCCUGCAGUGGGUACGGGCAGACUAGAGUGUGGUAGGGGAGACUGGAAUUCCUGGUGUAGCGGUGAAAUGCGCAGAUAUCGGGAGGAACACCGGUGGCGAAGGCGGGUCUCUGGGCCAUAACUGACGCUGAGGAGCGAAAGCGUGGGGAGCGAACAGG